rnacentral:rRNA from 1 species
AAGACCUUUGCGCUUUUGGAGCGGCCGAUGUCUGAUUAGCUAGUUGGUAGGGUAAUGGCCUACCAAAGCUUCGAUCAGUAGCUGGUCUGAGAGGACGACCAGCCACACUGGGACUGAGACACGGCCCAGACUCCUACGGGAGGCAGCAGUGGGGAAUUUUGGACAAUGGGGGCAACCCUGAUCCAGCCAUGCCGCGUGAGUGAAGAAGGCCUUCGGGUUGUAAAGCUCUUUCAGCCGGAACGAAACGGUUACGGUUAAUACCCGUGACUACUGACGGUACCGGAAGAAGAAGCACCGGCUAACUACGUGCCAGCAGCCGCGGUAAUACGUAGGGUGCAAGCGUUAAUCGGAAUUACUGGGCGUAAAGCGUGCGCAGGUGGUUUUGUAAGUCAGAUGUGAAAUCCCCGGGCUUAACCUGGGAACU